rnacentral:rRNA from 1 species
GCAUGCUAUCUCUAUGAAGAUGAUUCUAAUUCGUCUGAAAUUAUUUAUUAUAGUAGCUGGAACACGAAAUAGAUGGUGUGGAUUAAAAAUGGAACUAUGAUUCAUACUCACUAUUAAGACCUCGCAACUGGACUGAAAAAUUCAAGUAGUUCUUAA